CUGGCCUUUGGGCAAAGAAAUGCCCAUACCUCAACCACUGACAAAAAUACAUAGUAUCCAUAAAUGGAUAAAACAGGACUGUGGAAUCCUGCCAAUACAGGACAAAAGGAGGAGAUGAUGGGGAAGUUCUGUUAACCAAUCACACCCAGUUAAGGCAUGGCUACGUGGAACAGAGGAAGAAAAACUGAGAGAGACCAGGUAACCACACUCUCAGUGAUUCCCACCAGACACAGAGGAACUCAGACUCCCCAUUCUUGUGCUAGCCCUCAUCCCAUAACUGAAAGAAGCAAAUAUAGAAAUCCACAGCUAAGCGCUGGACCAAGCUCCCAGAGUCCUGUCAAGGAGAGGUAGGAGUGAUAAUAUGAGCAAAGGGGUAUAUACAGUUUUAAAUUGUUGUAUUCUAAAAUCUUGUUGAAUUCAUUCAUUGUAUCAAGAAACUGCUGUUUGAAUUCUUUAGUACAUUAUGAACAAAUAUUUAUGCUACCUUCCAAUUUAAAGAGUUUUAUAAUUUUUAAUCCUUGUUUUUCUUUUUGAUUUUAUACAUGAUCUAUGACUUCAAGUACAAAUCUCCCAGUAACCUCAGUGAAACUCUGAAACACAGCCAGCUACUACACAGAGAGGACAAAGAGGUGAGUGACCACUCACCCAGCAGGAUACCCCACUUACUAGGCCCUCCAUUACCUGCCUUGGAUUCUCCAGCCAGCCAGCAGACAAGUUUUCUACAAGCAACCUCAGAGGAAUGCUGAAACACAAACUGCAACUACACAGAGAGGACUAAAUAAGAAGACCAAGAGAGGAAUUCUGAAGCAUAAGUUGAGAUCCUACAGACGAGACCAAGAGAGCAGAAAAUAAGAGAGUACCAAGAGAUACCUCAGUAGCUUCAAAAACACAGCCUGUGACAGUAUAGAGCAGACCUUGAACAGUUCUCAGUGACACAGACAGCCACUGCAAGGAUUGGAUCAAGAGGCAAAGACACUGCCAGCACCAGCUGAUAGAAGAGAUAGGUAGGCCCCAAUGCAAAAAUUCAUCCAACAACCUAAGAAGCAAAAUGGUAACACCAGAACCCCAAAAUCAUACAACAGGAAGACUUGAUCACCUUAACACAGA